AUUGAACGCUGGCGGCAGGCCUAACACAUGCAAGUCGAACGAGUGGCGGACGGGUGAGUAAUGUCUGGGAAACUGCCUGAUGGAGGGGGAUAACUACUGGAAACGGUAGCUAAUACCGCAUACUAUCAGAUGAGCCUAGGUCGGAUUAGCUAGUUGGUGGGGUAAAGGCCCACCAAGGCGACGAUCCGUAACUGGUCUGAGAGGAUGAUCAGUCACACUGGAACUGAGACACGGUCCAGACUCCUACGGGAGGCAGCAGUGGGGAAUAUUGGACAAUGGGCGAAAGCCUGAUCCAGCCAUGCCGCGUGUGUGAAGAAGGUCUUCGGGUUGUAAAGCACUUUUAGUAGGGAGGCGUUACCAGCAGAAUAAGCACCGGCUAACUUCGUGCCAGCAGCCGCGGUAAUUC
rnacentral:rRNA from 1 species